ACACCGACGCUUCCCCUCCCACCAGAUCCCUCCACUGGAUCCGAGCGGAAGGAAUCCUCCAGCGCGUUUCCUCCAAUCAGACGCCGCGGGAGGGUCCUCUCCCCGGGAGCUUCGGCUCAGCAAAGCUCCACUCCACGGCGGCCCGAACUUGAGCAUCGCCAACUCUCCGCUCGGUGCCCUCCCCCGCUCACUGCUUACCGCCGCCUCCCGCCGAACCCGGGUCUUCGACGGCUCCCACCUGCGGCUCCUUUAAAACUAGCCUAACCCAGUGCCGCCCAAUCGCCGAGGGCCUUCUUCGCGGAGCCCCGGGCAGUGCCCAAUCGCCGGCCCGCGCCUUGCUGGGUGGCGAGCAACCCGGUGAAGCCACCUGAAAGCCAUCACCUCCCGGGGUGCGCAGCCAAACGUGGCAGCGCAGCUUUUGUGUUCUAGGGCAGAUCUCGUUGUUCUCGAGGAACCAGGACUUGGAAGAUCAAGAUCAAGUGAGAAGACACAUCUCAGUGUGCCUGAUAAAUAAGUCUCAGGCUACAGGGUCCUGUCUCACCACUCCCAAGAAUGAGCUCCAUGGACCAGAAGAUUUAAGCAAGAGUGGAAAUUACAAGCAGGUUCAGACUCCCCGCACGAGGAGGGGGGCCCAAUAAUGGGCUACCCUUGAAAGCCUUGUCUAGGGGUAUAUAUUUGCUACAAGUCUGUUCUAUAUCUACCCAUGGCAUCACCUGAUUGAUUCCCUCAAUUGUUCUUGCCCAGCAGCGGACCUGAACUUUCCCUGUUCUUAUAAGUCAGUUCACCUUAUUGUUGCAGACCCUCCCUAGAUUCCUAUGCCUCCCACUUUGAGUCCAGAAAAAUGUUAUUAGUUCUGCUUGGUUGGCUUUUGUGAUUAGGCUGCUCACACGGCCGUGUCUGCCCCUGCCUCACCUGCCUUUGUUUUCCACUGGACCCCUGCCCUGUGUGCCUGCAUUUCAAGCUAACUUCUCUCACCUGUCCCCAAGAGUUCGGCGUUUAUAUCCCUACAUACAAAAGUGCCAUUGGCUCUGCUCAUUACCUCAGCUUCAGCCCUCUCCAUCCUCAAGUACUCAGCCUACCAGGUGUCAGCACAUUCCUGCCCAAUUUAAUUCCUCUGCCGAUGAGCUUUUAUUUUUUUAAAUAUAUUUUUAUUGAUUUCAGAGAGGAAGGGAGAGGGGGAGAG